rnacentral:tRNA from 1 species
GGUGGCUCAGGGGUAGAGUGCUUGCUUUGCAUGCAUGAGGCCCUGGGUUCAAUUCCUCAGCACCA